rnacentral:tRNA from 2 species
GCGGAUGUGGCGGAAUUGGCAGACGCGCUAGACUUAGGAUCUAGUAGGUUUCCUGUGCAGGUUCAAGUCCUGUCAUCCGCA